UACGUAGGGUGCGAGCGUUAAUCGGAUUUACUGGGCGUAAAGCGCGCGUAGGCGGUUUGUUAAGUCGGAUGUGAAAUCCCCGGGCUCAACCUGGGAAUUGCAUUCGAUACUGGCAAGCUAGAGUAUGGGAGAGGAAGGUAGAAUUCCAGGUGUAGCGGUGAAAUGCGUAGAGAUCUGGAGGAAUACCGAUGGCGAAGGCAGCCUUCUGGCCUAAUACUGACGCUGAGGUGCGAAAGCAUGGGGAGCAAACAGG
rnacentral:rRNA from 1 species